rnacentral:lncRNA from 1 species
UUUUCCCGCUACUUUCAAGCUCGAGAAGCUUCUUCCAGUAAAUCACAUCUAAUCCUUCUUCAUCUACGAUAACUGCCUUUAGAUUACCAUCUAUUCGCACGAAAUCCUCCGGGAACAGAAACCCCCAAGGAGAAGGCGGUGCAGGUACCGAGUCGUAUCUGACUCUCUCUUCUUCUUCUUCUCCUCUCUUCCCGCGAUCUGAGUUCCGACCUCUUAGUUUGUCUUUGAUUCGCCUCCGUGAACUACUACCGUUCUUCCGGAAAAGGAAAGACAUCCCCGGCGCUUCUUUACCGGACCGGAGCUUAUAGCAAGUCACAAGGUUCUUGACGAUUUUGACAACGAAGGAACGUGUUGAAUGGUUCGAUGUACAUGACUACCAUUUUCAUGAUUUUUUACACAUUUAUUAUGAUUUCUCCUUUUUCCAAAAAUAAAAAAAAGUAAAACUUUUUUCGUGAGAUGAGGUCCAAUGUCAAAAGCGUGGCUGCUUUGGGUCGCCUUUGACGCGGGGUCGGGCCUAGACGAGGUUUAUUUCUCAUUUACGUAACGCGGACGUGUGUCAGACUCUGACCAGGUCUAAAAUUUUGUGUGAUUAGUAAAAAUAUGUUUUACCAUGUUUUGACUUCUUUCAUCUAUAAUUUCGGCUACGCGUUCUUAUUAAUGCAUAAUCUAAUCAUAAAAUAUGUUUAUAUCCAUUCAUACUUCCUUUUUUAAAACCUACCCAAAUAAUUCUUGCCAGUGUUCUAUAACCAAGAAGAAGAAGAAGUGUAGGAGUAUCUCCCUCCUCCUCCUCCUUCAACACUCUUACUCUGAUCUCCAAUUUCACUACCUGAAGAUGAAGACUUGUUCUUCUUCACAUGAAACGAAAACGCCUCUUCAAUCGAUUCAUCUCCCUUCGGAUUAGUGCCCGAUCCUCCUUCUUCUUCUUCUUCAUCUGCCCCAGUUCUUCUAGAUCCACCAUCUGGUUUACCUCGUCUCCUAGGUUUAGGAGUUUUCCCGCUACUUUCAAGCUCGAGAAGCUUCUUCCAGUAAAUCACAUCUAAUCCUUCUUCAUCUACGAUAACUGCCUUUAGAUUACCAUCUAUUCGCACGAAAUCCUCCGGGAACAGAAACCCCCAAGGAGAAGGCGGUGCAGGUACCGAGUCGUAUCUGACUCUCUCUUCUUCUUCUUCUCCUCUCUUCCCGCGAUCUGAGUUCCGACCUCUUAGUUUGUCUUUGAUUCGCCUCCGUGAACUACUACCGUUCUUCCGGAAAAGGAAAGACAUCCCCGGCGCUUCUUUACCG